UACGUAGGGUGCGAGCGUUAAUCGGAAUUACUGGGCGUAAAGCGUGCGCAGGCGGUUUUGUAAGACAGAUGUGAAAUCCCCGGGCUCAACCUGGGAACUGCGUUUGUGACUGCAAGACUCGAGUGCGGCAGAGGGGGGUGGAAUUCCACGUGUAGCAGUGAAAUGCGUAGAGAUGUGGAGGAACACCGAUGGCGAAGGCAGCCCCGUGGGUCGACACUGACGCUCAUGCACGAAAGCGUGGGGAGCAAACAGG
rnacentral:rRNA from 1 species